GAUGAACGCUGGCGGCGUGCUUAACACAUGCAAGUCGAACGGAAAGGCCCAAGCUUGCUUGGGUACUCGAGUGGCGAACGGGUGAGUAACACGUGGGUGAUCUGCCCUGCACUUCGGGAUAAGCCUGGGAAACUGGGUCUAAUACCGGAUAGGACCACAUUUUGGAUGGUGUGGUGGAAAGUUUUUCGGUGUGGGAUGAGCUCGCGGCCUAUCAGCUUGUUGGUGGGGUAAUGGCCUACCAAGGCGUCGAUGGGUAGCCGGCCUGAGAGGGUGUACGGCCACAUUGGGACUGAGAUACGGCCCAGACUCCUACGGGAGGCAGCAGUGGGGAAUAUUGCACAAUGGGCGCAAGCCUGAUGCAGCGACGCCGCGUGGGGGAUGACGGCCUUCGGGUUGUAAACUCCUUUCGCUAGGGACGAAGCGUUUUUGUGACGGUACCUGGAGAAGAAGCACCGGCUAACUACGUG
rnacentral:rRNA from 1 species